rnacentral:rRNA from 1 species
UACGUAGGGUGCGAGCGUUAAUCGGAAUUACUGGGCGUAAAGCGUGCGCAGGCGGUCCUAUAAGACAGAUGUGAAAUCCCCGGGCUCAACCUGGGAACUGCGUUUGUGACUGUAGAACUAGAGUGUGGCAGAGGGGGGUAGAAUUCCACGUGUAGCAGUGAAAUGCGUAGAGAUGUGGAGGAAUACCGAUGGCGAAGGCAGCCCCCUGGGUUAACACUGACGCUCAUGCACGAAAGCGUGGGGAGCAAACAGG